rnacentral:rRNA from 1 species
CCUACGGGAGGCUGCAGUGGGGGAUAUUGCACAAUGGGGGGAACCCUGAUGCAGCGACGCCGCGUGGGUGAAGAAGCGCCUCGGCGCGUAAAGCCCUGUCAGUAGGGAAGAAAAUGACGGUACCUGAAGAAGAAGCCCCGGCUAACUACGUGCCAGCAGCCGCGGUAAUACGUAGGGGGCAAGCGUUAUCCGGAUUUACUGGGUGUAAAGGGGGCGCAGACGGCGAUGCAAGCCAGGAGUGAAAGCCCGGGGCCCAACCCCGGGACUGCUCUUGAAACUGCGUGGCUAGAGUGCAGGAGGGGCAGGCGGAAUUCCUGGUGUAGCGGUGAAAUGCGUAGAUAUCAGGAGGAACACCGGUGGCGAAGGCGGCCUGCUGGACUGCAACUGACGUUGAGGCCCGAAAGCGUGGGGAGCAAACAGGAUUAGAUACCCCAGUAGUC